AUGGGGGGAUGCCAUGACCCCCUGGGAAUUGGUGGCGGAGGAGAAGGCGUCGGGGAUGACCGUGGGGACUCUUGCGUCGUCGGUGAGGCCGCCAUCGGCUGCCGUGCCCAUGGGACGCACCGGCUGUGGAGUCGAGACGCCCGCGAGGACUUGGUGCGAGCAAUCUGUCGAACAGGUGACGGGCGCCCUCGCGAUGCAUGCGGGGGACGCAUCGGUGAUGAGCUCGAGGACCUCCUGGGCUUUGCUGGUGGAAGAGGGGGCGGAGAAGACGCCGGGGACGACCGCGGGAACAAGGGUAUUGUGGAUGAGGCCGCCAUCGGAGGCCAUGACCGCGGAGCGCGCCGGCUGAGGGGUCGAAGCUCCCGUGAUGAGCUUGGAGAACAACGCGUCGAACAGCCUGGCACUGGCGUCGUGGCGCGCCUGGGCCUUCGCCUCGAACUCGUCAAGGGGAAUCAAGGUCUGAUACAAGGGAAUUUGGAAGGGAGGUAG
rnacentral:rRNA from 1 species